UACGGAGGGUGCAAGCGUUAUCCGAAUUCACUGGGUUUAAAGGGUGCGUAGGUGGGCUGGUAAGUCAGUGGUGAAAUCUCCAGGCUUAACUUGGAAACUGCCAUUGAUACUAUCAGUCUUGAAUACCGUGGAGGUCAGCGGAAUAUGUCAUGUAGCGGUGAAAUGCUUAGAUAUGACAUAGAACACCAAUUGCGAAGGCAGCUGGCUACACGAAUAUUGACACUGAUGCACGAAAGCGUGGGGAUCAAACAGG
rnacentral:rRNA from 1 species